GCGGGGAUAGCCUAGCGGUAGGGCGACGGCCUGCUAAGCCGUUAUCCGAAAGGAUUCGAGGGUUCGAAUCCCUCUCCCCGCG
rnacentral:tRNA from 3 species